AUCACCCCCCAAAAAGGGAAUAGCAUUUUCAUUUCAGAGUAAUUAGAACAAUAGUAGUAGUUAUUAACUUCCAAAGCCAUAUGCCAGGUAUUUUUACCAGGUGUUUUAGUUUUGAUAUCCUGCUCUAUUUCUUCUUUGUAACAAUCCUCCAAGGUGGAUAUAUCUGUUCUUAUUUUAUACAUGAAGAUACUGAAACUGAAAUAAUUGCCCAACAUGAUACAGCUUAUAAGUGGCAGACUUGAGUUUAAACCCAAAUAUAUUGUAUUCUGACUCUUCCUCAUCUGUUCUACUUUUCAUUUUAAGCAGUAUUAAUAUUAACACUAAUUUAACUCUCUCAAUGAAUAAACAUAAUAUUAAAGUCCUGUCCCCAAAUGGCCCUGAACUGACCCAGUCUUUCCUCUCUUCUCCUAUCCUGUAGUUCUCAGAAUAACAGUAGAAUAUGCUGGGAAUGUAACAUCCUGAGAUAUGGAUGGACUGACCAGAACAGCCUGGGCUCAGUUCCAGCCCCCCCUAGAAACAGGAUGUCCUUCAAAGCAUUGCCCAGUAGGUCUCAUGACCUGUGGAUAUAAACCCCAAGUGUUGCUGCUUUUUGGGAUUCGUCACUGUGGUGAAAGUGGGGCACACUGUUAAGACUCCAUCUACCCCGGGCAGCUUUCUUGGGAGAUUGACUCACAAUGGAUCCUAGGCUUCUGUUGGCCCUUGCUGCUUCUUUCUAAAGAGAUGUGCAGCUUUGAGCUUCACUAGCAAGUGGGACCUAAGCACUGAGACACUUAUUUUAUGCCUACAUAAUCCACCCUCCAUGUCAUGGUGAUACUGCCUUGAGUAUCUCUGUAUCACAACCAGUAUACUAAAAUCUUUAUUCUUAAAUUAAAACCACCUUACCUCCAUAUUGACUUAAAAAGCAAAUUAAACAGAAAUAUUUUUU